rnacentral:misc_RNA from 1 species
GUGAAUCAUCGAAUCUUUGAACGCAAAUUGCACUCUCCUCGGAGAGUAUGCCUGUUUGAGGGUGAGCUUAUAAAAAAUCGACAUCGUUGCUGUUUCGCGGCGGCGUUCGUCGGAGAUUGGGUUAUCUUAAAUACUUUUGGGUUUUAAGAGACUUAAAAUUUUCUUUUUGGUUCCAUGAACGAUUCUAAGAUUUAUUUCUUUACACGUUUAAGGUAUCGAUUUUUAUUAGACGUGACCAUUAUAUAGGAUCGUGUCCUCAAUCUUGCAGUAA